GACGAACGCUGGCGGCGUGCUUAACACAUGCAAGUCGAACGCUGAAGACCUGGCUUUUGUUGGGUUGGAUGAGUGGCGAACGGGUGCGUAACACGUGAGUAACCUGCCCUCUUCUUUGGGAUAACGCCCGGAAACGGGUGCUAAUACUGGAUAUUCACUGAUCUUCGCAUGGGGGUUGGUGGAAAGGUUUGUUCUGGUGGGGGAUGGGCUCGCGGCCUAUCAGCUUGUUGGUGGGGUGAUGGCCUACCAAGGCUUUGACGGGUAGCCGGCCUGAGAGGGUGACCGGUCACAUUGGGACUGAGAUACGGCCCAGACUCCUACGGGGGGCAGCAGUGGGGAAUAUUGCACAAUGGGCGAAAGCCUGAUGCAGCGACGCCGCGUGAGGGAUGGAGGCCUUCGGGUUGUAAACCUCUUUCGCUCAUGGUCAAGCCGCAACUGUGGGUUGUGGUGAGGGUAGUGGGUAAAGAAGCGCCGGCUAACUACGUG
rnacentral:rRNA from 1 species